AUGGCCUGGACCCCUCUCCUCCUCGGAUUCCUGGCUCACUGCACAGCUUCCAUGGCCUCCUAUGUGCUGACUCAGCCUCCCUCAAUGUCAGUGAACCUGGGACAGAUGGUUAGGAUCACCUGUGGAGGAAAAACAUUGGAAGUAAAAGUGUUUACUGGUACCAGCAGAAGCCGGGCCAGGCCCCUGUGCAGGUUAUCUAUGGUGAUAGCAGUCGGCCCUCAGGGAUCCCUGACCAGUUCUCAGGCACGAACUCGGGAAACACGGCUACCCUGACCAUCAGUGGGGCUCAAGCUGAGGAUGAGGCUGACUAUUACUGUUAG